CCCCACUCCCCUACCCCACCCCGAGUCUCCUCUGAGGCUUCCUUGCCCUUGAACCAGCAAGUGGAAGUGUGGCCCAUUUGAAUGGAUGACGGUGAUACGCUGCUGGAAGCGAGGGCGAUGGGUCUGCUCAGCGGUGGGCAAAGCGCUAGGGGUGUUGGAGGACAGGGUUCAAAUGCCCAGCUCAGUUGUGAAAUCUUGGCAAAACUUUGGGCAAGUCACUGGUCUGCUCUGCAGCUCAGCCUCCACAGGGGCAAACAGCAAGAGGCUGGAGAGGCGCUCUGUGGCCCCGCCCCAUCAGGUCAAGGAGCAUGCGCCAACAGCUCCGCAGGGUUGAGCAAGGCGAGGCUCACUCAAUGAAUGAGAGAAGGCAGCCUGGCUCUCAGGGGACUCACAGGCCGUCUGGAUAGGAGCGAAGAGUGUCCACAGUAUGGUGCGACAGAACACAGCACAGGAUCAGGAGCCAUAGUGAGCAGCCAGACACUCCGUGCUCGUGCAGGGGUAGGGGUGGUGGCGGCAGGCUGGAGUCCUCUGCGCCAGCUUCUUGCAAGAGGGUCCGCUUGUGGCCCCACGCUGGGGAUGACAUGGCUUGGGGAGCCCCACACCUGCUCCUGCCACCUGUCCUCCUGGUGCUCCUGGCCUCAGGUUCCUGGGGAAAGACAGUCAUGCCUGAAGAGUUUCAUGAAGUGGCGGGGCAGACACUCUCCGUGCAGUGGCAGUACCCUCUCGAGGGAGGGCCCUACAACAGGAGAACUCGGUGUCAGCAGACAUCUUCACAUGAGUGUACCUGAUCAGUCACCAGCUCCAAGCUCCCGACAGCAGCUCAGGACUCUUGACACAUGAUCUGGGAUGCAUUGGGUGCUGGCCUCUUCAUCAUCACCAUGAUUCAGCGGACGGAGGAGGACUUCGGGUCCUAAUGGUCUAGAAGCUACAACUCUUCCAGGAACUUGGUCACUAUUCUCAGAAACAUCAGCCUGGUCUUGUCUCCGGAAGAGCUCCUUUCUUAAGGAAAUGCCCCCUCCCUCCCAGGCCUGCGGGAAAUGUCACUCACCCACUUUGUGUGACUCCAUCACCCCAGAUCCUACCAGGUCUUCUGCUCUGAUCCAAGGGGAGCGGGGGCCCUGGUCUCCAGAGAUGGGCUCUCACCUCUUCUCCACUUUGCCAGUCCUGGCCCCAACUAGUAGGAAGCCCCAACCACUUUCCUGUGUGGACCCCCACCUCACUCCUACCAAGUACAGUUCUGAUCAUUUCUCCAGAGGGGACCUCUGGCCCAUCUUCCCUCAAUGGCUCUGAGCACAGCCCUACAGGUGUGAGGAGGAGCCUGCUGGAAUUCAGAGCCCAGCAUCUUACGAGUCAUCCAAGUCAUCGCAGCUGAGGAAACGAGGCCCAGAGAUCGCAUGGGGCCUGUCCCAAACCGUCACCCGGACACUUAGGAGCAGAGACAGGGCAAAGCCCAGGCUCCUGACUGCUGGGUCCCGAGAGCCCUCCUUGGGCCCCUCUAGGUGGUCCUUACACCUUGUGUGCCCAGCUCUGAUUCUGGGUCCUUCUCCCCCCCACCUCACCCCAGCAAAUCUGCCCUCUCUUCUGGCCUCAGUAGUUCCAACUGAUGGUCCAGCCUGCCGCCCUGUCCUUUCUGACCUGUGGGAUUGUUCCUGCUCCCUGGCUCUGUCCCUCCUGUAAGCGAACAUAAGUGAGGCCAUUUUGUUACGAUAAAUGGCCCCAGCCCCUCCCCCGUGUGACUACUCGCUGCUCUGCACUACUCUAAAAAAUUCACAUCUUCUCCUGAUUUAGGGCCUCCG
rnacentral:lncRNA from 1 species